UACGUAGGGGGCAAGCGUUGUCCGGAUUCAUUGGGCGUAAAGAGCGUGUAGGCGGCCAGGUAGGUCGGUUGUGAAAACUGGAGGCUCAACCUUCAGACGUCGACCGAAACCAUCUGGCUAGAGUCCGGGAGAGGAGAGUGGAAUUCCUGGUGUAGCGGUGAAAUGCGCAGAGAUGUGGAGGAACACCGAUGGCGAAGGCAGCCCCCUGGGCUAACACUGACGCUCAUGCACGAAAGCGUGGGGAGCAAACAGG
rnacentral:rRNA from 1 species